rnacentral:rRNA from 1 species
GUAGGUGGCAAGCGUUCGUCCGGAAUUAUUGGGCGUAAAGCGCGCGCAGGCGGUUCUUUAAGUCUGAUGUGAAAGCCCACGGCUCAACCGUGGAGGGUCAUUGGAAACUGGAGAACUUGAGUACAGAAGAGGAAAGCGGAAUUCCACGUGUAGCGGUGAAAUGCGUAGAGAUGUGGAGGAACACCAGUGGCGAAGGCGGCUUUUCUGGUCUGUAACUGACGCUGAGGCGCGAAAGCGUGGGGAGCAAACAGGGAUUAGAUACCCUGGUAGUCCACGCCGUAAACGAUGAGUGCUAAGUGUAGGGGGUUUCCGCCCCCUUAGUGCUGCAGCUAAACGCAUUAAGCACUCCGCCUGGGGAGUACGGCCGCAAGGCUG